AGUGAACGCUGGCGGUAGGCCUAACACAUGCCAGUCGAACGGCAGCACAGUAAGAGCUUGCUCUUACGGGUGGCGAGUGGCGGACGGGUGAGGAAUACAUCGGAAUCUACUUUUUCGUGGGGGAUAACGUAGGGAAACUUACGCUAAUACCGCAUACGACCUACGGGUGAAAGCAGGGGAUCUUCGGACCUUGCGCGAUUGAAUGAGCCGAUGUCGGAUUAGUUAGUUGGCGGGGUAAAGGCCCACCAAGGCGACGAUCCGUAGCUGGUCUGAGAGGAUGAUCAGCCACACUGGAACUGAGACACGGUCCAGACUCCUACGGGAGGCAGCAGUGGGGAAUAUUGGACAAUGGGCGCAAGCCUGAUCCAGCCAUACCGCGUGGGUGAAGAAGGCCUUCGGGUUGUAAAGCCCUUUUGUUGGGAAAGAAAAGCAGCAGGUUAAUACCCCGCUGUUCUGACGGUACCCAAAGAAUAAGCACCGGCUAACUUCGUG
rnacentral:rRNA from 1 species